rnacentral:rRNA from 1 species
CCUACGGGCGGCAGCAGUGAGGAAUAUUGGUCAAUGGACGAGCGUCUGAACCAGCCAAGUAGCGUGAAGGAUGACUGCCCUAUGGGUUGUAAACUUCUUUUAUAUGGGAAUAAAAUGUUCCACGUGUGGGAUUUUGUAUGUACCAUAUGAAUAAGGAUAGGCUAACUCCGUGCCAGCAGCCGCGGUAAUACGGAGGAUCCGAGCGUUAUCCGGAUUUAUUGGGUUUAAAGGGAGCGUAGGUGGAUUGUUAAGUCAGUUGUGAAAGUUUGCGGCUCAACCGUAAAAUUGCAGUUGAAACUGGCAGUCUUGAGUACAGUAUAGGUGGGCGGAAUUCGUGGUGUAGCGGUGAAAUGCUUAGAUAUCACGAAGAACUCCGAUUGCGAAGGCAGUUCACUGGACUGCAACUGACACUGAGGCUCGAAAGUGUGGGUAUCAAACAGGAUUAGAUACCCCAGUAGUC